GACCCUAACAGCUAGCCCGACCCACCAAAAACAACAAACAAUAUUCAUAACCCCUAAAAGCCUAAAAAUGCUAAACAAACCAUUUUUCCUCUUUAGUAUGGGAGACAGAAAAAG
rnacentral:rRNA from 1 species